rnacentral:rRNA from 1 species
AGUGAACGCUGGCGGUAGGCCUAACACAUGCAAGUCGAACGGCAGCACAGUAAGAGCUUGCUCUUACGGGUGGCGAGUGGCGGACGGGUGAGGAAUACAUCGGAAUCUACUUUUUCGUGGGGGAUAACGUAGGGAAACUUACGCUAAUACCGCAUACGACCUACGGGUGAAAGCAGGGGUUCUUCGGACCUUGCGCGAUUGAAUGAGCCGAUGUCGGAUUAGCUAGUUGGCGGGGUAAAGGCCCACCAAGGCGACGAUCCGUAGCUGGUCUGAGAGGAUGAUCAGCCACACUGGAACUGAGACACGGUCCAGACUCCUACGGGAGGCAGCAGUGGGGAAUAUUGGACAAUGGGCGCAAGCCUGAUCCAGCCAUACCGCGUGGGUGAAGAAGGCCUUCGGGUUGUAAAGCCCUGUUGUUGGGAAAGAAAAGCAGCAGGUUAAUACCCCGCUGUUCUGACGGUACCCAAAGAAUAAGCACCGGCUAACUUCGUG